UGCAUAUCAAUAAGCGGAGGAAAAGAAACUAACAAGGAUUCCCCUAGUAACGGCGAGUGAAGCGGGAUGAGCUCAAAUUUGUAAUCUGGUGGACUCAGUUCAUCCGAGUUGUAAUCUAUAGAAGUGUUUUCCGCGCUGGACCGUGUCUAAGUCCCUUGGAACAGGGUGUCAGAGAGGGUGAGAAUCCCGUGCUUGAUACGACCACCAGUGCUAUGUGAUACACUUUCAACGAGUCGAGUUGUUUGGGAAUGCAGCUCAAAAUGGGUGGUAAAUUCCAUCUAAAGCUAAAUAUUGGCGAGAGACCGAUAGCGAACAAGUACCGUGAGGGAAAGAUGAAAAGCACUUUGGAAAGAGAGUUAAACAGUACGUGAAAUUGUUAAAAGGGAAACGAUUGAAGUCAGUCGUGCUCUCUGGGACUCAGCCGGUUCUUCCGGUGUACUUCCCAGUGAGCGGGUCAACAUCAGUUUAGAUCGCUGGAUAAAGGUAUUAGGAAGGUGGCUCCCUCGGGAGUGUUAUAGCCUAGUAUCGCAUACAGUGGUUUAGACUGAGGAACGCAGCUCGCCUUUAUGGCCGGGGUUCGCCCACGUCCGAGCUUAGGAUGUUGACAUAAUGGCUUUAAACGACCCGUCUUGAAACACGGAC
rnacentral:rRNA from 1 species